rnacentral:rRNA from 1 species
CCUACGGGUGACAGCAGUGAGGAAUAUUGGUCAAUGGGCGCAAGACUGAACCAGCCGAGUCGCGUGAGGGAUGACGGUCCUAUGGAUUGUAGACCUCUUUUGUCAGGGAGCAAGGCCCGCCACGUGUGGCGGGCAGGAGAGUACCCGAAGCAAAUGCAGCGGCUAACUCCGUGCCAGCAGCCGCGGUAAUAGGGAGGAUGCGAGCGGUAUCCGGAUUGCGUGGGUGAAGGGGGUGCGUAGGCGGAAGGUGAAGUCAGCGGUCAAAUGUCGGUGAGCCACACCGGCGUGCCGUUGAAACUGGUCUUCUUGAGUGAGCAAGAAGGAGACGGAAUGCGUGGUGUAGCGGUGAAAUGCAUAGAUAUCACGCAGAACUCCGAUUGCGAAGGCAGCAUACCGGCGCUCAACUGACGCUGAGGCACGAAAGCGUGGGGAUCGAACAGGAUUAGAUACCCGGGUAGUC